UUAAACCACAAUACAGCAAACACUGGAUUAUCCAGGAGGUGAACGAAUUAUCCAGCUUGAAUAUUUAUCUGUGAUUGUGUCAUCUCCCAUUCCUCUUCUGUCCAUUUCAGAUAAGUCAGUAAUUGACAGUGUGGUCCGGUGGAAAGAGCCAAAACUUUGGGGUCAGAAGUCCUGGGUUCGGAUCCUGCUUAAUGCCUAUGCGACUUGGAACUCAAGACCCCUCCUUGGGACCCUGAGCUUCUCCUUGGUGACUGGGGAGCACUCAUUAUGUCCAGCCUAGAUCCUGACUCACCACAGUCUUCAAAGCUAUCUCCACGCCAUGGUACCAUUUCACAGACUUCAGGUUAAGAACUCUGAUCUCUCCCAAAUGUAAAAUUCUGCAAUUCUAGGAUUCUUUGUAUUAAAACUCUUCUAAGGUCACUCAUACAAGCUCUGUAUGCAUGAACAUGCCAAGAUGAGUCACAAAGGAUGCCCCAUUAGGUGGGGACUAGGGUGAUUACAGACGUGCAAAGAAAUGGUUGCCAAAUCAGGAUUAAAGUGUU